AUGUCCUCCCCGGUGCCGCACCUCGUCGACGAGAUCCUGGAGGAGAUCUUCCUCCGCCUGCCCACCCCGGCCACGCUCGCCCGCGCCUCCACCGCCUGCCCCCGUUUCCGCUCCAUCAUCACCGGUCGCUCCUUCCUCCGUCGCUACCGCAAACGCCACCCGCCGCCGCUCCUCGGCUUCGCCACCAAAGGUGGCUUCCACCCCGCGAAGGCGCUCCACUCCUUCACCCCGCUCGCCCACGCCGCCGCCGCUGAUUUCACCUACUCCUUCGUCCCGCUGCCCAGGAGCAGCAAACCCUGGUUCCCCCGCGACCUCCGUGAUGGCCGCGUCCUCCUCGAGAGAAGACACUUAGGGAAGAUGUUCAAAAGCUUCGUGGUGUGUGAUCCAUUGUCGAGGCGCUUCGUGUUGCUCCCAUCCAUUCCUCACGACAUGGUACACCAAGAGGAGAAGCGCCCUUCUGAAAUCAGGCCCAUGCUGGCUCCCAUGGCCGUGGGUGAGCAAGGUGAGGAUGAGACCUCGUUCAAGGUGAUAUGCUUUGCCAGCUAUGAAACCAAGCUGGUUGCAUUCGUCUUCUCUAGCGUCACUGGAGAAUGGUCUAUGGUCGCAUCUACCAGCUGGACCUCUUUGGGCGGUCGCCCCCAUAGGUGCGAGUACUUGCCCUUCUCGGGAUGCAGUCACUUCUACUCCGCACCGACUUUGGUUGAGACGUUGAUUGUGCUGGACACACGAACAAUGAAGUUUUCCUCUGUGGACGGUCGCACCGGCUACCAUGUAAAGCUCAGACGUCUGCCUGGCCAGGCUGAAUACAGCGUCCCCCGAGGUAACCCUGUGCUGAGAAGACGCCUUGGCCAGAUGAAGAGUACACCUGGCAUCUUAGUGGAUAGAGAUGGAGCCCUUGAGAUGUUUUCUCUCGUUGGUGAUCACAGCCCAAAUUGCUCGUUUUAUCUCUAUCAUACCACUCGGCGAAAUAAUGGCGAAUCUUCCAUGGAAUGGCAGCUUGAGAAAAUUAUACCGUUGCCUGGCGGGUAUGACUAUUUCACCGUGGGCGCAGCUGAGGGGUUCUUAUUCCUCGGAGCCACUACAGAAGAUCAGUUGGAUGUGAGUGAAAACCCCUCAGCGCCGUUCUUGAGGAUUGAUUCGACUGUUUGGUCUGUGGAUUAUUUUUCGCUCGAGGUCAAGACUUCUAAACUUAUGAUGGUUUGUAUGAGCAAGAGGCAAUUCUUCCAUGGUGAGCAUGCUCUCUGGUAA
rnacentral:rRNA from 1 species